AGCGGCGGAUGGGUGAGUAACACGUGGGGAACCUGCCCCUAAGUCUGGGAUACCAUUUGGAAACAGGUGCUAAUACCGGAUAAUAAAGCAGAUCGCAUGAUCAGCUUUUGAAAGGCGGCGUAAGCUGUCGCUAAGGGAUAGCCCCGCGGUGCAUUAGCUAGUUGGUAAGGUAACGGCUUACCAAGGCGACGAUGCAUAGCCGAGUUGAGAGACUGAUCGGCCACAUUGGGACUGAGACACGGCCCAAACUCCUACGGGAGGCAGCAGUAGGGAAUCUUCCACAAUGGACGCAAGUCUGAUGGAGCAACGCCGCGUGAGUGAAGAAGGUUUUCGGAUCGUAAAGCUCUGUUGUUGGUGAAGAAGGAUAGAGGUAGUAACUGGCCUUUAUUUGACGGUAAUCAACCAGAAAGUCACGGCUAACUACGUGCCAGCAGCCGCGGUAAUACGUAGGUGGCAAGCGUUGUCCGGAUUUAUUGGGCGUAAAGCGAGCGCAGGCGGAAAAAUAAGUCUAAUGUGAAAGCCCUCGGCUUAACCGAGGAACUGCAUCGGAAACUGUUUUUCUUGAGUGCAGAAGAGGAGAGUGGAACUCCAUGUGUAGCGGUGGAAUGCGUAGAUAUAUGGAAGAACACCAGUGGCGAAAGGCGGCUCUCUGGUCUGCAACUGACGCUGAGGCUCGAAAGCAUGGUAGUGAACAGGAUUAGAUACCCUGGUAGUCCAUGCCGUAAACGAUGAGUGCUAAGUGU
rnacentral:rRNA from 1 species